rnacentral:lncRNA from 1 species
AACACCGGUGGGUGGCCAACCUCAAUAUCAGGGGGCACAGUAUCAAGCGUUUUAUAGACCGGCUGUCGGUAAUGCCGGUCAACAGCCAGAAAUGGCUUGGGGUUUGCCACCACCCCCUCCAAUUGCAGCCUACCAGCCUCAAAAUGUAGAGGCUAGGGGGCAUCUCCCGAAUGCACAAGGGGUUAAUCCCCUAGGGCAAAAUAUUGGGAUUCAACAACCAUUGAAUCCAGUACCA